rnacentral:tRNA from 1 species
GUGGCUAUAGUGUAACCUGGUAGCACAUAACUCUGUGGAGGUUAUAGAUCGGGUUCAAAUCCCGAUAGCCACUCCA